GCAUGUGGCUAUAAAUACUUUAAAGCUAUCUGCCACAAACUGAAUAUACUCUUCUUACAUACGGUAUAUUGUGAUCAGUCUUUCCUCUGUCCUAACACGCCCUGGAUGUUCCCAUCUCUCUACCCACCCAGUUUCAUGUUCUGUCUCUUACUCCUCCAACCCCUACUCUCAGACAACCUAAAAAACAAAAACAAAAGGCACAUAUUCAAAGCAAACAAGCAAAACAAAACAGAUAGAGCAUCUCAAAAUGGAGUCUGUUAUGUGUGGGCCAACUGUUCCUGGGUUUGAGACCUGCUGUAGAGUGUGAUUGGCGUGACAAGUGAUGCUUCAAUGGAGAAAAUUGAUUUUCUAUUUCCCAGCAGGUAUCAAUUGCAAAUAGCUUGCUAGAUAUGAACGGGAAUUUGUUUCUAUCUAUCUUCCAUACUGGGAUUUUAUCUGAUUUGAGCUUGUGCAGGUCUUGUGCCUGCUGUAACAGCCUCUGUGUGGUCAUAUGUACAUCAGCUCUACUGUCUCUGGGAAAUGCUGUUAGAAUAACCUCUUUUUGGUUUUUGAGAUUCUAAUAUAAUUUCAUUUUCUCCUUUACUUUCUCUAAACCCUCCCACAUAUACCAAGUACCUCCUACAUAUCUCUAAAUAUAAUCUGUGCAGUAUGUAUAUAAUAAACUCUAAAGGUUAACAUUCACAUGGAAAUUUUAAGACAGAAUUUGUAUUGUAAUUUUAUUGCGAAGCUUUCCAUUAUUUAAUCCUGUAGGUGUCUAGAAAUAGAAAUAUUGGUUCCUGGAAAUCAUUUGUUCAUAACUUUAUUUAAUUCCUUUUCUUUAAUAAAAAACAUAUCUUAUAUAGGACUGUCUGGAAAAACUAGAGCAUAAAGCAGUAUGUGAAUACGUAAAGUCUUCAUUCAGUGUUUUACUUAGAACAUUGGAGAUUGGAUCCAAUGCUUGCAGCAUGCUAAGCACAGGUUCUCCCACUGAGCUACCAGAUCUAGUGCAUGGAGGGGUCGAUUUAGCAUAACAUUUAUAGUCUAUCAUCUCACAUAAAAGCUCUUAGAUAAAUGAAAACCAAGUUGAGAAUUUACAAUUAAAAUUUUAAGCAGAAGACAUUUUUUAUAAACUUGCUAAGUAACCUUCAAAAUGUUAAUAAUGGCAGUGAUUUAAAUAUGGAUGCUUUUUUUUUAUUACUCAGAGAAGCUGAACUUUCUUUCUUCAUGUCUUACUGUUCCCAGCCUUUCAAAUCUGCUGAGUGACAGUUUAAACACAGAAUAGUCAUAACAAAAGAAAUCAACCUGCUAUGUGUUAAGGUUAAUUUAAUUUAAAGUGAUAUUUUCCCAAAUAAUUUAUUUUUUAUAAACUUUAUCAGACAAAUUUGCAAUUAGAAACUGUUACAAAUAACUUAUUUUUAUUGAAGUAAGAAUCAUGAAUGGCAAAAAUAAUUAGGUUCUUACACUAAGAGGAAGUAUGGAGUUUCCUCCCAUACCUUGUAUAGACUAAUUCUCUACAGCUGUGUAACACUAGCAGGCACAUUGUUACAAGCAAUAAAGCUACAUGCUGACACAUCAUUACUAUGCAAAGGUCAGAGUUCCAUUAGGGACCACUGCUAGUGUUCUGUGCACUUCCACAAGUAUACAAUUAUAAGUAUUUACCAUGUAGAAGAAUCCUGCUGUCUUCCAGUUCUCCAAUGUUCUACUUAUUCCACACUGCCCUACUCUCUGGAAACCACCAAUCUUUUGACAGCUUGAAUCUUUCCAUUUCGUUUCCAAAAUGCUAAGAGAUUGAAUCAUGUAGCAUGUAGGGUUUUUUUAGAUGGAUAUACUUCACUUAAUGACACAUAUUUAAGUUUCCUGUAUAUCUUUUUAUAGUUCAUUACGUUUUAGUAGAUGGGAAAAUGCCCCAGUAGCUGGUUCGAAGUCAGUGCCCAUAAUCCCAAACUCCAGUUGGCUCAAGCCCCAGGCCUGCUAUAACAUUUGACCAGCAUGACAGAUCAAGUUUCGAUGCAAAUGCCUUAGAAUAAUCAGUAUGGACCAGCUGUCCUUCAUGCUAUGGAGACCAGAGUCAGGCAAGCAACCUGUAUCAUGCCUCCUCACUGCCUGGCCAAUCCCUUCAUUCUCAGGCUCAAUGAUCAUCUCGGUGCCAGUUCAGCCCUGUGCAUCCAGGCUGCAGGCCAUCUCUGAUUGUGUAAAUAUCCUUCUAGAAAUAACUUCUAGACCUAUGACCUAUUGCUACUACCUUCCAAUCGUUAGACCCUUCUCAUUAGAUAGGUCCACUCUUCAGACUCUCAUCCCAAGCCCAAUCAUCUACUUAAGAGGAAACCAGACUAUCUACCUCCAAAUCUCCAACACCGAGUCAACUUGUGCAGCAUACACAAGAGCCUUCCCCAAAUCUCCUCCUCAGUAGAUAUUGGAAUGAAAAGUUGUCUAGACAAAGACAACUUGGAGAACUUGAAUAAGUCCCUUCUUCAAAUUCAUGAACAACAAAUAACUGUAAAGAUCAAGAUCCCAAAAAAAGGAGAGAGCCAAAUGAUCCAGGUCAGCCAGUAGUAGAAACCCUAAGGAAAUGGAUGAAAAUAAACACAAAUGGCCUCAGUGUGUGAAACUGAAGCAAGGAAGCACCUGGAAAUAUCUAUGACACUGAUCAAUGCCACCGCAUCUGGAUCUGACUGCAAAAGUAUAGACAACAAAAUAAUAAUAGACUAAACAGCAUGUCAUAGUACUGAAAAUUCUCAGCACAGAAAAUGAUGCAAUGGGCAGAGUCAAGAGUCAUCCCCCUGGGCUAGCAGAAAAAUAGGUCAGUCCUACAUAUAAUGAGGUUAAUAGCACAAAUAUGUAAAAAAAAACGGACCCAACACUAUAGUAACAUAUUUGGCAGACUGGUUAACAAUGGGCACAACACUCUAGUAGGAAUGUCUUGUAAAUAAUCAACUUACAAAUAACCAAAAGAAAAAGGAAAAUUGAUCAGCUUUACUAAUCCCAGGGAAAUACAAAUUAAAACUGCAAUUGGGUUUUUAUUACUACAUCUCUAUAGUACAGCUUGGAAUCAGGGAUGGUGAUACCUCCAAAAGUUCUUUCAUUGUUCAGGAUUGUUUUACCUAGCUUGGUUUUUUGUUUGUUUGUUUGUUUGUUUGUUUGUUUGUUUUUGUUUUUCAUAUGAAGUUAAUACUCUUCUUUCAAGGCCUGUAAAGAAUUUUGAUGGGGAUUACACUACAUAUGUAGCUAGUUUUGGGUAAAAUCCUAAUUUUCACUUUGUUAAUCCUACCUAUUCAUAAUCAUGGCAGACCUUUCCAUCUUCUGAUAUCUUCUCCCAUUUCUUUAUUCAAAGACUUGAAGAUUUUUUAUCAUACACUUGCUUUGUUAGAGUUACCACAAGAUAUUUUAUAUUAUUUUGUGGCUUUCAUGAAGGCUCUUUUCCCCAGGAUUUCUUUCUU
rnacentral:lncRNA from 1 species